ensembl:lincRNA
AAAGAAUAUCAGGUUCUAAAAAUAUUUAUUAUGUAAGUGCUGAGGCUCAUAUCUGGGAGAAUUAUAUCAGUCUUACGAGAUUCUAUUCCUGUAUAGGUGCCAUAACUAAAAGUUCUUUGCCCCACAGCUACGAACAAGGAUAUCACUCUCACAGGAUUUCUACCUAUUCUAUUUUUCUACGCAGCACAAAACUUGAUUAUUUCUUUCUCUGGAGACAACUUAAUGACUACUAAUAGUAAUAAAAGUAAUCCAUAAAGAUGAUUAAACCGUAGUUAUAAUUUGUAACCUAAAUACUGUAUAAAUUCUCAAACUAUUGCACAUGAAGUAUCUACUUGUUCCUCCCAAAAACAAUAUCACGUAGGUUAUGCAGAGGUCAUUAUUUUCAUUUUGUAUAUAGGAAGCUGAGAUUUAGAGAAGAUGAUGAACACAUCUGAAUUUUCACAGAAAAGAAGAUGCAGAGGCAUGAUUUUACUGAUGUUUUCACAACAUCAGGAUAUUGCGAAAUAUUCAAUAAUGAACAAAAUGAGUCAAAACCAAAGGCUACACAGAAGCACUGCUGAUUUCAGCCCUGGCAGGACUCCUGUUUAAACAUACUUCCCAGAAAUCUUGGGCAGCUUGCCAUGAUGUGAGGAUGUACACAGCUACCCUGAUUGAGUUUGGAUGAUUUCCAAGUUUCCUUAGGAAGACAUUUACGUGUCAUGAUUUAGGAAGGACUACUUCUGUAAAGGUCUGUUUAUUAUUCAUAGAUCGAUUUUAGUCUCUGCCAAGUGCCUUUCCUCACCUUGUUCCAAAUUUUGAGGGACUCAUAAUUUAUUCAACAAAUUCUUAUAGAACAUCUCUGAUGUGCCAAGAACUAUGUGAACUGUUGGGAAUAC